AUUGAACGCUGGCGGCAUGCCUUACACAUGCAAGUCGGACGAGUGGCGAACGGGUGAGUAAUAUAUUGGAACGUACCGAGUAAUGGGGGAUAACCAAUCGAAAGAUUGGCUAAUACCGCAUACUAUUCGAGCGGCCAAUAUCUGAUUAGCUAGUUGGUGGGGUAAAGGCUUACCAAGGCGACGAUCAGUAGCGGGUCUGAGAGGAUGAUCCGCCACACUGGAACUGAGACACGGCCCAGACUCCUACGGGAGGCAGCAGUGGGGAAUUUUGGACAAUGGGCGCAAGCCUGAUCCAGCCAUGCCGCGUGUCUGAAGAAGGCCUUCGGGUUGUAAAGGACUUUUGUUAGGGAGGCGGUACCUACAGAAUAAGCACCGGCUAACUACGUGCCAGCAGCCGCGGUAAUAC
rnacentral:rRNA from 1 species